GACGAACGCUGGCGGCGUGCUUAACACAUGCAAGUCGAACGGAAAGGCCCUGCUUUUGUGGGGUGCUCGAGUGGCGAACGGGUGAGUAACACGUGAGUAACCUGCCCUUGACUUUGGGAUAACUUCAGGAAACUGGGGCUAAUACCGGAUAGGAGCUCCUGCUGCAUGGUGGGGGUUGGAAAGUUUCGGCGGUUGGGGAUGGACUCGCGGCUUAUCAGCUUGUUGGUGGGGUAGUGGCUUACCAAGGCUUUGACGGGUAGCCGGCCUGAGAGGGUGACCGGCAACAUUGGGACUGAGAUACGGCCCAGACUCAUACGGGAGGCAGCAGUGGGGAAGAUUGCAAAAUGGGCGGAAGCCUGAUGCAGCAACGCCGCGUGCGGGAUGACGGCCUUCGGGUUGUAAACCGCUUUCGCCUGUGACGAAGCGUGAGUGACGGUAAUGGGUAAAGAAGCACCGGCUAACUACGUG
rnacentral:rRNA from 1 species